rnacentral:rRNA from 1 species
GUCCAGACUCCUACGGGAGGCAGCAGUGAGGAGUAUUGGUCAAUGGUCGGGAGACUGAACCAGCCAAGCCGCGUGAGGGAUGAAGGUACAGAGUAUCGUAAACCUCUUUUGUCAGGGAACAAAGGCGGGGACGUGUCCCCGGAUGAGUGUGCCUGAAGAAAAAGCAUCGGCUAACUCCGUGCCAGCAGCCGCGGUAAUACGGAGGAUGCGAGCGUUAUCCGGAUUUAUUGGGUUUAAAGGGUGCGUAGGCGGGCUGUUAGGUCGGCGGGAAAAUGUGGGGCCCCACCCCCGGCCUGCCGUUGAAACUGGCGGCCUCGAGUGGGCGAGAAGUAUGCGGAAUGCGUGGUGUAGCGGUGAAAUGCAUAGAUAUCACGCAGAACUCCGAUUGCGAAGGCAGCAUACCGGCGCCCGACUGACGCUGAGGCACGAAAGCGUGGGUAUCGAACAGGAUUAGAUACCCGUGUA